rnacentral:rRNA from 1 species
UACGUAGGUGGCAAGCGUUGUCCGGAUUUACUGGGCGUAAAGAGCGCGCAGGCGGCUGGUCAAGUCCGAUGUGAAAUCUCCCGGCUCAACUGGGAAACUGCAUCGGAAACUGAUCGGCUUGAAGGUGGGAGAGGGUAGUGGAAUUCCCGGUGUAGUGGUGAAAUGCGUAGAUAUCGGGAGGAACACCAGUGGCGAAGGCGGGUUGCUGGGCUGACACUGACGCUGAGGCGCGAAAGCUAGGGGAGCGAACGGG